rnacentral:rRNA from 1 species
GAUGAACGCUAGCUACAGGCUUAACACAUGCAAGUCGAGGGGCAGCAUGGUCUUAGCUUGCUAAGGCCGAUGGCGACCGGCGCACGGGUGAGUAACGCGUAUCCAACCUGCCUUACACUCUUGGACAGCCUUCUGAAAGGGAGAUUAAUACAAGAUGUUAUCAUGAGUAAGCAUUUUCGCAUGAUUAAAGGUUUACCGGUGUAAGAUGGGGAUGCGUUCCAUUAGAUAGUAGGCGGGGUAACGGCCCACCUAGUCUUCGAUGGAUAGGGGUUCUGAGAGGAAGGUCCCCCACAUUGGAACUGAGACACGGUCCAAACUCCUACGGGAGGCAGCAGUGAGGAAUAUUGGUCAAUGGACGAGAGUCUGAACCAGCCAAGUAGCGUGAAGGAUGAAGGUUCUAUGGAUUGUAAACUUCUUUUAUACGGGAAUAAACGAAUCCACGCGUGGAUUUUUGCAUGUACCGUAUGAAUAAGGAUCGGCUAACUCCGUGCCAGCAGCCGCGGUAAUACGGAGGAUCCGAGCGUUAUCCGGAUUUAUUGGGUUUAAAGGGAGCGUAGAUGGGUUGUUAAGUCAGUUGUGAAAGUUUGCGGCUCAACCGUAAAAUUGCAAUUGAUACUGGCAGUCUUGAGUACAGUUGAGGUAGGCGGAAUUCGUGGUGUAGCGGUGAAAUGCUUAGAUAUCACGAAGAACUCCGAUUGCGAAGGCAGCUUACUAACCUGUAACUGACAUUGAUGCUCGAAAGUGUGGGUAUCAAACAGGAUUAGAUACCCUGGUAGUCCACACGGUAAACGAUGAAUACUCGCUGUAGGCGAUAUACAGUCUGCGGCCAAGCGAAAGCAUUAAGUAUUCCACCUGGGGAGUACGCCGGCAACGGUGAAACUCAAAGGAAUUGACGGGGGCCCGCACAAGCGGAGGAACAUGUGGUUUAAUUCGAUGAUACGCGAGGAACCUUACCCGGGCUUAAAUUGCAACCGAAUAUGGCGGAAACGCUAUAGCUAGCAAUAGCGGUUGUGAAGGUGCUGCAUGGUUGUCGUCAGCUCGUGCCGUGAGGUGUCGGCUUAAGUGCCAUAACGAGCGCAACCCUUGCCGAUAGUUACUAACAGGUUAUGCUGAGGACUCUGUCGGGACUGCCAUCGUAAGAUGUGAGGAAGGUGGGGAUGACGUCAAAUCAGCACGGCCCUUACGUCCGGGGCUACACACGUGUUACAAUGGGGGGUACAGAGGGCUGCUACCACGCAAGUGGAUGCCAAUCCCAAAAACCUCUCUCAGUUCGGAUUGAAGUCUGCAACCCGACUUCAUGAAGCUGGAUUCGCUAGUAAUCGCGCAUCAGCCACGGCGCGGUGAAUACGUUCCCGGGCCUUGUACACACCGCCCGUCAAGCCAUGGGAGCCGGGGGUACCUGAAGUGCGUAACCGCAAGGAGCGCCCUAGGGUAAAAC